AACGGUCUAUACCUGCGGUACCUGCGGAAGGAUCAUUGCAAAUCAGGAGGGGAGUAUGGGGGAAGGAGAUCGGGGGAUCGAGAUCUUGUGGUCUCGAUGCUCUGUUCUAUCCAUCCCAUUUCAUCCCAUCUCAUAUAUGCACAGCGGCUGAUCAGUCAGUCGCUGAUGUUUGCGCUUGUUUGUUUGACAAAUCUAUACAUUGCAAAAUUCAAAACUUUUAACAAUGGAUCUCUAGAUCGG
rnacentral:misc_RNA from 1 species